CUGCUAAUGAAGCUGGCUGUUCUCCCUUCUCCCUGGGGGCCGGUGUGCAGUGGCUGCAAACAGCAGCCUCCUCAGAGGUGUACCGAGCCCGUUGCCGGCGUAGGUUACCCCACAGGACCUUGGAGACAGAU
rnacentral:snoRNA from 1 species